rnacentral:rRNA from 1 species
UCGGAUUGUAGUCUGCAACCCGACUACAUGAAGCUGGAAUCGCUAGUAAUCGCGGAUCAGAAUGCCGCGGUGAAUACGUUCCCGGGUCUUGUACACACCGCCCGUCACACCAUGGGAGUCGGAAAUGCCCGAAGUCUGUGACCCAACCGCGAGGAGGGAGCAGCCGAAGGCAGGUCGGAUGACUGGGGUGAAGUCGUAACAAGGUAAC